AACGCGAAGAACCUUACCAGGUCUUGACAUCCCGCUGACCGCCAUGGAGACAUGGCCUUCCCUUCGGGGACAGCGGUGACAGGUGGUGCAUGGUUGUCGUCAGCUCGUGUCGUGAGAUGUUGGGUUAAGUCCCGCAACGAGCGCAACCCUUGUCCUUAGUUGCCAUCAUUCGGUUGGGCACUCUAAGGAGACUGCCGUACAAAUACGGAGGAAGGUGGGGAUGACGUCAAAUCAUCAUGCCCCUUAUGACCUGGGCUACACACGUGCUACAAUGGGCGGUACAAAGGGCUGCGAACCCGCGAGGGGGAGCGAAUCCCAAAAAGCCGCUCUCAGUUCGGAUUGCAGGCUGCAACUCGCCUGCAUGAAGCCGGAAUCGCUAGUAAUCGCGGAUCAGCAUGCCGCGGUGAAUACGUUCCCGGGCCUUGUACACACCG
rnacentral:rRNA from 1 species